GACGAACGCUGGCGGCGUGCCUAACACAUGCAAGUCGAACGGGACCGGGGCAACUCCGGUUCAGUGGCGGACGGGUGCGUAACACGUGAGGAACAUGACCUUCGGCGGGGGAGUAGCCGGCCCAACGGCCGGGUAAUACCGCGUACGACCAUUCGGGGACAUCCCUGGAUGGUGAAAGCAGCAAUGCGCCGAUGGAGUGCCUCGCGGCCUAUCAGCUAGUUGGUGGGGUAACGGCCUACCAAGGCGACGACGGGUAGCUGGUCUGAGAGGAUGGCCAGCCACAUUGGGACUGAGACACGGCCCAGACUCCUACGGGAGGCAGCAGUGGGGGAUAUUGCGCAAUGGACGAAAGUCUGACGCAGCGACGCCGCGUGUGGGAUGACGGUCUUCGGAUUGUAAACCACUGUCGGGAGGGACGAAUACGCCGCAAGGCGGGUGACGGUACCUCCAAAGGAAGCACCGGCUAACUCCGUGCCAGCAGCCGCGGUAAUACGGAGGUGCGAGCGUUGUCCGG
rnacentral:rRNA from 1 species